AUGUUGUUUAUUUCUUCCAAUUUGUCUGUGUUGAUGAGUGUUACAAGAAGAAGAGGAAUAGAAAGCAGAGAGAGAGGAGCACUGAUGAACAAGGAGGAAGAGGUAAAUGUGUCUUUUGGCUUUUCAUUCAAUCUAGUCUUUCUGAUACUUUUGCUUUAUUUUUUUGUGAUUUUUUCUAUUUAG